GACGAACGCUGGCGGCGUGCCUAAUACAUGCAAGUUGAGCGCUGAAGGUUGGUACUUGUACCAACUGGAUGAGCAGCGAACGGGUGAGUAACGCGUGGGGAAUCUGCCUUUGAGCGGGGGACAACAUUUGGAAACGAAUGCUAAUACCGCAUAAAAACUUUAAACACAAGUUUUAAGUUUGAAAGAUGCAAUUGCAUCACUCAAAGAUGAUCCCGCGUUGUAUUAGCUAGUUGGUGAGGUAAAGGCUCACCAAGGCGAUGAUACAUAGCCGACCUGAGAGGGUGAUCGGCCACAUUGGGACUGAGAAACGGCCCAAACUCCUUCGGGAGGCAGCAGUAGGGAAUCUUCGGCAAUGGACGAAAGUCUUACCGAGCAACGCCGCGUGAGUGAAGAAGGUUUUCGGAUCGUAAAACUCUGUUGGUAGAGAAGAACGUUGGUGAGAGUGGAAAGCUCAUCAAGUGACGGUAACUACCCAGAAAGGGACGGCUAACUACGUG
rnacentral:rRNA from 1 species